AACGAACGCUGGCGGCAGGCUUAACACAUGCAAGUCGAGCGCCCCGCAAGGGGAGCGGCAGACGGGUGAGUAACGCGUGGGAAUCUACCCAUCUCUACGGAAUAACGCAUGGAAACGUGUGCUAAUACAGUAUACGUCCUUCGGGAGAAAGAUUUAUCGGAGAUGGAUGAGCCCGCGUUGGAUUAGCUAGUUGGUGGGGUAAAGGCCUACCAAGGCGACGAUCCAUAGCUGGUCUGAGAGGAUGAUCAGCCACACUGUGACUGAGACACGGCCCAGACGCCUACGGGAGGCAGCAGUGGGGAAUAUUGGACAAUGGGCGCAAGCCUGAUCCAGCCAUGCCGCGUGAGUGAUGAAGGCCCUAGGGUUGUAAAGCUCUUUCACCGGUGAAGAUAAUGACGGUAACCGGAGAAGAAGCCCCGGCUAACUUCGUGCCAGCCGCCGCGGUAAGAC
rnacentral:rRNA from 1 species